rnacentral:rRNA from 1 species
UACGGAGGGUGCGAGCGUUAAUCGGAAUUACUGGGCGUAAAGCGCACGCAGGCGGUUUGUUAAGCUAGAUGUGAAAGCCCCGGGCUCAACCUGGGAUGGUCAUUUAGAACUGGCAGAUCAGAGUCUUGGAGAGGGGAGUGGAAUUCCAGGUGUAGCGGUGAAAUGCGUAGAUAUCUGGAGGAACAUCAGUGGCGAAGGCGACUCCCUGGCCAAAGACUGACGCUCAUGUGCGAAAGUGUGGGUAGCGAACAGG